rnacentral:lncRNA from 1 species
CUGAAUCUUAUUGCAAAUACUGUUUACUUCUAAUUUUAAAGAUCAGUAGGGUAAGAAAAAUAAUUUUCUGCCGUAAAUUUGGGAUCAAGAACUUCACUCUUGUGUUUUCUAAAAAAAAAAAACUUUCUGUACUUGUAUAGGACUGUGGUUAAUUAAGAUAGAUGUUUAGUACUGUGGAGUACAGUAUUUAUUAGGUUAAUAUCCUGGAAAGUCUGAGCAAAGUUGUCAUGUGAGGCUGUGUGCUUAGUCCCUGCAGUUAAGUUUCCCUAUGGCUUCAGAUACUACCUUAGGUUUUACUGAUGUUUUCUCCUGUGGAUGAGCCUUCCUAAUAGUUAAGGACAACUAAAGAUAAAGCUGUGUGGUGUAAUUAAGAACGAAAUCUUAUCCACAUUAGAAAUAUGCUGGGGAUCACC